GAUGAAGAACGUAGCGAAAUGCGAUAAGUAAUGUGAAUUGCAGAAUUCAGUGAAUCAUCGAAUCUUUGAACGCACAUUGCGCCCUCUGGUAUUCCGGGGGGCAUGCCUGUUCGAGCGUCAUUACAACCCUCAAGCUUUGCUUGGUAUUGGACAUUGCCAGUUUCUGGCAGGUCUUAAAAUCAGUGGCGGUGCCAUUUGGCUUCAAGCGUAGUAAUUCUUCUCGCUUUGGAGAUCCAGGUGGUUACUUGCCAAUAACCCCCAAUUUUUUCAGGUUGACCUCGGAUCAGGUAGGGAUACCCGCUGAACUUAAGCAUAUCAAUAAGCGGAAGA
rnacentral:misc_RNA from 1 species